GCUUAUGGCCAUACCACCCUGAGAACGCCCGAUUUCGUCUGAUCUCGGAAGCUAAGCAGAGUCGGGCCUGGUUAGUAUUUGGAUGGGAGACCGCCUGGGAAUACCAGGUGCUGUAAGCU
rnacentral:rRNA from 1 species